rnacentral:lncRNA from 1 species
UACGUGUAGGUAAAGCGUUCAAAACAGCACUUGGCAUUUAAUUAAGUGAUCAAAGAAAUCACCCAGCACCAGUCACUGCUGUGUUCUACCUUUCUUACCUGCUCUUCCUGAUGCCUCUCAGCACGUACUGCAGCCAGGCAAGGAAGGCUCUAGGGACAGAAGUCAGGGUGACCCUACUGACUUGGCUUCCCCAGCUUGGGAGUAGCCCAGCGGACUUUUAAACCGGGGGAACAUGAUGUGUGGCAUCCAUCGCCCAGCUCUGGUGGUGAGGGCAGAGGUGUGCAUGGUAAGAUGCUGAAAUAGGGGAAAGAUAGGUUCAGAGAAUGAAGCUGGCCUUGGGGCUUGUCAGAGAAAUGGGCAAAGUAACUACUGGACAGAGUAUCAAACAGAUGCUGCUGUCCCCUCCUGACCUUUUAUCCCGUCCCCUCGCUCAAUUCUACAAGGGAGUAUGUGCUUUUAGCCCUCCCUGGUAUGCUCCCUGAGAGCAGGCAGUGUGUUUCAUUUGCCUUUAUUCAUCCUUUAGCACCUUGCUAGAUGCUUUGGGUGUAAGCGGUCACCUUAUACACUACCCCACUGGGCCCUGUGGAAAGGGUCCUCAUCAGAAGAAAAGGAAUUUUAGAGUUUCCCUAUCCAACUGUCUCCCUUCAGAGUUAAAGGAAGUGAGGAAAGAUAUUUGUCAGAGUUAUACAGCAAGUCAGAAGCCACGUCUCUGUUUUCAGACAGAUGUUAUUUCCUUGACACACACUGAGCUUACAAGGCAGUUGGGAGGAAAAACCAACUCCCUAAACUUUAUAGGAUGAAAUAAGGCAUCGUGUGGUUAAGUCCUGAAAAUAUGGUACAAAUGGUAGGUUUGCUACCAUUUGAGAGAACCCCAUUCCCCAGGGACUGGGAUCAGCUAGUAAAAAUGCUUACUGCAAGAGGGAGUCAACAAGGCCCUAAAGGAAGGGCAGGAUUUGGAGCCCAGGAGAGAGAAGUUUUAGGAGGGAAGUGGCUUACUGCUGAGGAUAUUUGGGGGUGAAUGAGGAAACCAGUUGGGUUAGAAAAAAGGUUUGUGUUGGAUCAUAGAUAAAAUAUUGGAGGGUUAGUUAAAGGCUAGAUUUGGGGAAAUUUCAAAUGCCAGAUAAGGAGUUUUUACCUCUAUGGGUAAUGGAGAACCCCUGGAAAUAGACACAGAAUGAGGUGCUUAACCAAGACGAGAAACCAGGCCAAGAUCUGCCAGCUUGGUCUGAUUUGCAUCUUUUGUAGACAGUUGCUUGCUGUAUAUGUGCAUCUAUUGAUUUUUACCCCCACACAGAGGAAACUCUACCGACCAGCUUGUCUCUAUUUAUUUCAUCUCCAAAUACACAUGCUAUUUGUGUGGGAGCAGAGGAAGAUGAUUAACACAGUGCAUAUACCUGUUGUAGAUCAGCCACUUGCUCCAGUGGUAUCUUACUGAAGCCUUCCAGUCUGGUGAGGGUAUUAUUGCCUAGCAACUCCAGAAAGCUUGGCUCCUUCUACCUUCUUACCAAUUUUUAUCAAUAAUGAUCUUCCGUCUUGCUAUCCAAUAAGGGGCAUGUUGAAAACUGAGCUUACAGUGGUAAAGUGCCCAAUACCCACUGCCCCUAAAAAAGAAAAGGAAAACUGAGUUAAAAAUUUAUUAAUUUUAUGUCUCUAAUAGUUGAACACUGGUAUUACAUACUAUCAAGGUGUUGCUAUGGAGCAGUGUGGGAAUAGUGGUUAAAAAGUAUCACUUGAGAAAGGCUAGAUCCUACUCCACAUUUUAUCACUGGAUGAGUCAUUUCAUCUCUCCUUGCUUGCAGUUUUCCCAGUCCCUCAUAUUUGCUCUUCAGAGUUAGGCUUUAAUGGCUGCACAUAUGUAAAAGAAAUGAUAACUUUCCCAGAUCACAGAGUUAGCAGGUGGCAGACUCAGAAUAAUGAGAAGAUCCAGGAAGAGAUCCCACUCCCAGGUUCCUUCUCAGAGAGGGCAAAGUGUGGGGAUAACCCCUAGGUUCAGGCUUCUAGGGUUGCUUUUUUUUUUUUAAUCCCUGGAGGUCUAGUAUUGCCUUAGGAAAAAGGAAUCCCCAUUUUCUGUCUUUGAAGUCAGACAAAGGUAGGUUUCUCGUUACUAGCCGGUCUCAGAGGCUAACCAAGCUAAUGAACCUUCAAGACCCCUCACUUGCACAAACCCCUACCCAACUUCAAACAUCUAAUUUUGCAUUAUUGUUCUUAUAGAGAGCUCCAACAACUGCAAAAUCUUCAGAACCCUAACAUCUGAAUCUGCUCCAAGUGGAUGAACUCAAUCAAGUUACUUUCUGAGACUUUGUUUUCCCAUCUGAAUAAAAUCAUCUUGGAUGCUGGUCGAGGAGCUGAACAUCCAGCUGGUGCAUAGUGUUUCAGAUGCCAAAAUAACUUGAAGAACUGGAUCUCAUGAGCCUUAGGCCUAAGACAAAGGUUAACAUAUCCCUGAGGUUUAAAAAAAAAUAGCUAAACAAUCUGUUUACUUAGUAGAUUCAUCCAAACAACUGAGGUACUUAUACCCUAUCAGUUUAAUGGUUCUUUACAAAAAUAAUAUAUGUAAAUGUAAAUUGAACAAAAAUUUACACACACUUUUUUUUUUUGGUGGAUGAGUGGUACUAGGAAUUAAACUUUACCCUUUACCACUGAUCUAUAUUCCCAGAUCUUUUUAUUUUUUAUUUUGGGACAGUAUUUCACUAAGUUGCUGAAGCUAGCCUCGAACUUGCCACGGCUGGUUUGGAACUUGCAGUCCUCUGGCCUGUAGCUGAGAUUACAGGCCUGAGCCACCAUGCCUGGCAAAAUUAAUAUUUUUAUUCGUUCUUCAAUAACUGCUAUUACUUUCUAAUGGAAUGUGCACCUGUUGAGCACUGCACAAUUUCCCAAUCCUUAAAAUCGAAUUGCACUUAACCACCUCAUUUCCUAUUCCC